AUGCAUGUCUAAGUACAACAUAAAUGAAUGUGAAACCGCAUAAGGCUCAGUUAACAGCUAUAAUUCACAAGAUCAUCCUACCACUAGUUACUUGGAUAACUGUGGAAAAUCCAGAGCUAAUACAUGCAACAUGCCGGGACGUUUGCCCUCGCGGGUAGCUGAACUGGUGCACUUAUUAGUUAAACCAAUCGCCUCCGGGCGGCUUGAGUUGAAGUCUGGAUAAGGACGCAGAUCGUAUGGUCGCUUGUCGACUGACGACAGAUCUUUCAAAUGUCUGCCCUAUCAACUAUUGAUGGUAGUGUAGAGGACUACAUGGUUGCGGCUCGCGAUGAAACGUCCUAGGUAUUGGUUAUCCAUCCAAGGAAGAGUA
rnacentral:rRNA from 1 species